rnacentral:rRNA from 1 species
GAGUUUGAUCCUGGCUCAGGAUGAACGCUAGCGGCAGGCCUAACACAUGCAAGUCGAACGGUAACAGCACUUCGGUGGCUGACGAGUGGCGCACGGGUGCGUAACGCGUAUACAAUCUACCUUUUACAGGGGGAUAGCCCAGAGAAAUUUGGAUUAAUACCCCAUGGCAUACAGGACCAGCAUUGGCUUUGUAUUAAAGAUUCAUCGGUAAAAGAUGAGUAUGCGUUCUAUUAGCUAGAUGGUGUGGUAACGGCACACCAUGGCAACGAUAGAUAGGGGCCCUGAGAGGGGGAUCCCCCACACUGGUACUGAGACACGGACCAGACUCCUACGGGAGGCAGCAGUGAGGAAUAUUGGUCAAUGGGCGCAAGCCUGAACCAGCCAUGCCGCGUGCAGGAAGACGGCCCUAUGGGUUGUAAACUGCUUUUAUAUAGGAAGAAAAUGUUCUACGUGUAGAGCACUGACGGUACUAUAAGAAUAAGCAUCGGCUAACUCCGUGCCAGCAGCCGCGGUAAUACGGAGGAUGUAAGCGUUAUCCGGAUUUAUUAGGUUUAAAGGGUGUGUAGGCGGGCCAUUAAGUCAGGGGUGAAAGUCUGCGGCUCAACCGUAGAAUUGCCUUUGAUACUGGUGGUCUUGAGUUAUGGUGAAGUGGCUGGAAUAUGUAGUGUAGCGGUAAAAUGCAUAGAUAUUACAUAGAACACCGAUUGCGAAGGCAGGUCACUAACCAUAUACUGACGCUGAUGGACGAAAGCGUGGGGAGCGAACAGGAUUAGAUACCCUGGUAGUCCACGCCGUAAACGAUGGAUACUAGCUGUCCGGAGGAUCCUUGAGAUCUGGGCGGCCAAGCGAAAGUGAUAAGUAUCCCACCUGGGGAUUACGUUCGCAAGAAUGAAACUCAAAGGAAUUGACGGGGGCCCGCACAAGCGGUGGAGCAUGUGGUUUAAUUCGAUCAUACGCGAGGAACCUUACCAGGGCUUAAAUGCAUAUUGACAGGGCCAGAGACUAUCUCUAAAUCAUGCAACUUACAAGGUGCUGCAUGGUUGUCGUCAGCUCGUGCCGUGAGGUGUCAGGUUAAGUCCUAUAACGAGCGCAACCCCUGUUGUUAGUUGCCAGCGAGUCAUGUCGGGAACUCUAACAAGACUGCCAGUGCAAACUGUGAGGAAGGUGGGGAUGACGUCAAAUCAUCACGGCCCUUACGUCCUGGGCUACACACGUGCUACAAUGGUAGGUACAGAGAGCAGCCACUGGGUGACCAGGAGCGAAUCUAUAAAACCUAUCACAGUUCGGAUCGGAGUCUGCAACUCGACUCCGUGAAGCUGGAAUCGCUAGUAAUCGGAUAUCAGCCAUGAUCCGGUGAAUACGUUCCCGGGCCUUGUACACACCGCCCGUC